GACCUCGGAUCAGGUAGGAAUACCCGCUGAACUUAAGCAUAUCAACCGGGAGAGAAAU
rnacentral:rRNA from 1 species